AUUGAACGCUGGCGGCAUGCCUUACACAUGCAAGUCGAACGGCAGCACGGGUGCUUGCACCUGGUGGCGAGUGGCGAACGGGUGAGUAAUACAUCGGAACAUGUCCUGUAGUGGGGGAUAGCCCGGCGAAAGCCGGAUUAAUACCGCAUACGAUCCACGGAUGAAAGCGGGGGACCUUCGGGCCUCGCGCUAUAGGGUUGGCCGAUGGCUGAUUAGCUAGUUGGUGGGGUAAAGGCCUACCAAGGCGACGAUCAGUAUCUGGUCUGAGAGGACGACCAGCCACACUGGGACUGAGACACGGCCCACACUCCUACGGGAGGCAGCAGUGGGGAAUUUUGGACAAUGGGCGAAAGCCUGAUCCAGCAAUGCCGCGUGUGUGAAGAAGGCCUUCGGGUUGUAAAGCACUUUUGUCCGGAAAGAAAUCCUUGACUCUAAUACAGUCGGGGGAUGACGGUACCGGAAGAAUAAGCACCGGCUAACUACGUG
rnacentral:rRNA from 1 species